rnacentral:rRNA from 1 species
ACGGAGGGUGCAAGCGUUAUCCGGAUUCACUGGGUUUAAAGGGUGCGUAGGCGGCCAAGUAAGUCAGGAGUGAAAGUUUGCGGCUCAACCGUAAAAUUGCUUUUGAUACUGCUAGGCUGGAAUUAGGAUGAGGUCAGCGGAAUGUGGCAUGUAGCGGUGAAAUGCAUAGAUAUGCCAUAGAACACCAAUUGCGAAGGCAGCUGGCUAGACCUGGAUUGACGCUGAGGCACGAAAGCGUGGGGAGCGAACAGGA